rfam:Pythium ultimum DAOM BR144 ctg_1117875579141, whole genome shotgun sequence.
GCCGGGUUGAGUGGCGUCAACUUGUAACAGGAAGCUUCUGCCUGGGUAGUGGGUCAUUGCGGGUUGUAGUAUGCUGUGUGUUGUCACUAUCACCAGGAUGUGGAUGGCGCGUCCGUUUCAAACCAGGAGUAGACAUUGGGGCGUUGGCGGAAGCCAGCGCAUCGAGGUCACUAAGGAAGGGUGUACUGCCCCAGGCUGGCUAACAGAGCAGGGAAAAGCCCUCGCUCUUGGUAGUGGAAGGAUCUCGUGCCAGAAUUCUGAGGUGUCACCACACAGCUAUCAGCUACAAUUCAAAGGGCCUGCAA